GAUCAGUUUUAACGCACGAAUCCAAGACUCAAUUCAUGUCUGCAGUUUUUCCUUUUUCCUCCUUUAUGCCUCUCUUUCUUCUCAGAUUGCGUUCAGUUUCAUCUAAAGAUUUUGCAGCGAUUUGAACUAAAUUUUGUUUAUUUAUUUUCUAACAUAAUGCCCGAUGAUGGAAAACUUUAAACAUUGAAUUGGCGUGAUGAUGGAUCUGGAUUCAUCAGUGGCCUUCGUGUUGCCUGGAUAGUCUGCCGCCUCUGCCUCCACCUCCACCACCACCACCACUUCAAAAUCAAGCACUCGCACACGUGCACGCGGAGGUUGGUAGAUUGUCCUUGGUGGCGCGUGAGGCUCCUGAUGAAUCUGGUCCAUUUUUCCUCGCCGCUUAUGAUUCAUAAGCUAUGAGAUCUGAGGGCUUAGUUUUAUGAAUAUGCAAUUCUAUUCAUUUUAUAAUUUAUUUCACAUUUUAUAGAAUUUUUGUUUUGCUAAUCCUUUGAUUUUGUGACUAGUUUCCGUUUUCGAUUUGUAAGUAUUUUUGUAUGUGUGUGUUGUGUUAAACCCAGUGAUGUUAAAUCUGAAAUGGAGAAUGUUGCUUUGGUUUCCAUCGGUAGCCUCCCCGCCCCCUUCACUGUAACAAGGCUUUUCCUUCAUCGUCAUCAUCAUUAUCGUCUUCUUCAUCAUCACCACCACCUUCGUCGUUGUCAAUUAGCUGCUGCUGCUGCUGCUGCUUCUCUUACUAUUACUCCCUCGUCCUUGUUAAGUAUGCGAGGCAAAAACUUGUUUGCAUUUGGGGCCAAGGACUGGCUUUGCUGGUAGCAAUGAUACUAUUGUUGUGUAUCUUGGUCUACUUCAAGUUUUGAUUGUUUUUCCAAAAUUUUUAAGCUAAUCAUUGGAUGAUUGAAAUUUUACUUUUAUCAUAUAUAUCAUAUAGAAUUUUUAUAUAAUUUUCAUCUGGAUCAUGGUCUCUCGUUACAAUGACUCAAAACUCUAGAACAUCCAAUAAAUGAUAUUUUGAUUUAUAAUUAUGAUAAUGGCACUCUGUAUUAUUAUUGAGCAAAAUGAGCUUAUGCAACAUAAUAUGCCAAAUUUCAAACAAUUGUCAGUUCUAA